AACGCUGGCGGCGUGCUUAACACAUGCAAGUCGAACGGAAAGGCCCUGCUUUUGUGGGGUGCUCGAGUGGCGAACGGGUGAGUAACACGUGAGUAACCUGCCCUUGACUUUGGGAUAACUUCAGGAAACUGGGGCUAAUACCGGAUAGGAGCUCCUGCUGCAUGGUGGGGGUUGGAAAGUUUCGGCGGUUGGGGAUGGACUCGCGGCUUAUCAGCUUGUUGGUGGGGUAGUGGCUUACCAAGGCUUUGACGGGUAGCCGGCCUGAGAGGGUGACCGGCCACAUUGGGACUGAGAUACGGCCCAGACUCCUACGGGAGGCAGCAGUGGGGAAUAUUGCACAAUGGGCGGAAGCCUGAUGCAGCAACGCCGCGUGCGGGAUAACGGCCUUCGGGUUGUAAACCGCUUUCGCCUGUGACGAAGCGUGAGUGACGGUAAUGGGUAAAGAAGCACCGGCUAACUACGUGCCAGCAGCCGCGGUGAUACGUAGGGUGCGAGCGUUGUCCGGAUUUAUUGGGCGUAAAGGGCUCGUAGGUGGUUGAUCGCGUCGGAAGUGUAAUCUUGGGGCUUAACCCUGAGCGUGCUUUCGAUACGGGUUGACUUGAGGAAGGUAGGGGAGAAUGGAAUUCCUGGUGGAGCGGUGGAAUGCGCAGAUAUCAGGAGGAACACCAGUGGCGAAGGCGGUUCUCUGGGCCUUUCCUGACGCUGAGGAGCGAAAGCGUGGGGAGCGAACAGGCUUAGAUACCCUGGUAGUCCACGCUGUAAACGGUGGGUACUAGGUGUGGGGUCCAUUCCACGGGUUCCGUGCCGUAGCUAACGCUUUAAGUACCCCGCCUGGGGAGUACGGCCGCAAGGCUAAAACUCAAAGGAAUUGACGGGGCCCCGCACAAGCGGCGGAGCAUGCGGAUUAAUUCGAUGCAACGCGUAGAACCUUACCUGGGUUUGACAUGGAUCGGGAGUGCUCAGAGAUGGGUGUGCCUCGUUUGGGGUCGGUUCACAGGUGGUGCAUGGCUGUCGUCAGCUCGUGUCGUGAGAUGUUGGGUUAAGUCCCGCAACGAGCGCAACCCUUGUUCACUGUUGCCAGCACGUUAUGGUGGGGACUCAGUGGAGACCGCCGGGGUCAACUCGGAGGAAGGUGGGGAUGACGUCAAGUCAUCAUGCCCCUUAUGUCCAGGGCUUCACGCAUGCUACAAUGGCUGGUACAGAGAGUGGCGAGCCUGUGAGGGUGAGCGAAUCUCGGAAAGCCGGUCUCAGUUCGGAUUGGGGUCUGCAACUCGACCUCAUGAAGUCGGAGUCGCUAGUAAUCGCAGAUCAGCAACGCUGCGGUGAAUACGUUCCCGGGGCUUGUACACACCGCCCGUCAAGUCAUGAAAGUUGGUAACACCCGAAGCCGGUGGCCUAACCGUUGUGGGGGAGCCGUCGAAGGUGGGACUGGUGA
rnacentral:rRNA from 1 species